UUGAAGUCCUUAUAAAAUCAUUUCUCUUGAGGGUGGGGUGGUCGGGGAGGGGGCGACAGAAGGUGGACACAGAUAAAAGAGUGAAGGAAUUCCAAGCUGAAAGGUGACAAGCAUGCUGAGCCACAUCUAGCACUACCUCUCCUCAGUGAAGUGACUGGGGAAGCCAAAUGGAUGAUCCACCACCUGGACAACUUCUUGAGCAACUGGUCUCAGAGAAUGCCAUUUUACCCAUCGUGUUCCGACACUAGGGGAGCCACGGGAAGAGUUUGUGGCCAAGGAAAAGGCCCAUAGACCGAGGCAGGAUCUGGCUAUGUCACCCAGGCAAGAGUGCAGUGGCAUGAUCUCGGCUCACUGCAGCCUCAACCUCCCAGGCUCAAGUGAUCCUCCCAUCUCAGCCUCCUGAGUAGCUGUGACCACAGGUGUGUGCCACCAUGCUCAGCUAAUUGUUUGUAUUUUUUGUAAAGACAGGGUUUUGCCAUAUUGCCCAGGCUGGUUCCGAACUUCGGAGAUCAAGUGAUCCACCUCUUUGGUCUCCCAAAGAGUUGGAUUAAAGGCACUGAGCCACUGUGCCUGGCAGAAGCUUUUAAUUUUGAAAUUGUUAUAUAAUUCUGAGUUUUCAGUGUUGGUUAAAAUUUUCUCUACUCCUAGAUUUUCUUACAAAAGUAUUCUCAUUACAAUUUUACAUCUAAAUUUUAAUUGUUAAUCUGAAAAAGGUAUAAUAAUGCGUUAUUUUUCUUGUGUUUCUAAGCUUUUGGACAGUUCAUAUUCAAAAUUAAAGCCAGUGCUUUUAAUCCAGAAAUACAUCACUUGAAAAUGUGUUGGAAGAUUUUUUUUAAGUAAAAACACUUACUAAUAUACUGCUUAAAAAUAUACUGCUUAAAAUAUACUAAAUAAAAAUAUACUGCUUAAAAAUAUACUAAAACAAUACAACUAAUAAACUGCUUAAA
rnacentral:lncRNA from 10 species